UUACAGCAAAGUACUUGUUGUGAGUUAGAAAUCAGAAAAGUUUACAGCAAAGUACUUGUUGUGAGUUAGAAAUCAGAAAGGUUUACAGCAAAGUACUUGUUGUGAGUUAGAAAUCAGAAAAGUUUACAGCAAAGUACUUGUGACUUAGAAAUCAGAAAGGUUUACAGCAAAGUACUUGUUGUGAGUUAGAAAUCAGAAAGGUUUACAGCAAAGUACUUGUUGUGAGUUAGAAAUCAGAAAAGUUUACAGCAAAGUACUUGUUGUGAGUUAGAAAUCAGAAAAGUUUACAGCAAAGUACUUGUGACUUAGAAAUCAGAAAGGCUUACAGCAAAGUACUUGUUGUGAGUUAGAAAUCAGAAAAGUUUACAGCAAAGUACUUGUUGUGAGUUAGAAAUCAGAAAGGUUUACAGCCAUGAAUAGAAAGUUUGUUGACAGUGGCCAGGAAAUCUGUACAAGGUUUAAAACUUCUGAUUUUUAUAUGAUCACUUCCUGUGCCAUUUAUCAUAAACAUCAAAUAUUUAAUAAAGUUUGAAUACACUUCAUUCCAUUCAGUAAUUUUGUGCUCAAUUUGGAGACAAAAAUAACUCUUUCUGAACCACAGAUAAAAAAGCACAAUUUUAAAUGUGGUGAAUAAUAUGGAACUGAUGAUUUCUGAUACUGGGACCUUGUACACCAUGGGGUAGUAUUACCUGGUAAAUUUACUUAUUUUUGUCAAAAUUUAAAAUACAUAAGUAUUAAGAUGUGUUUAACCUUCAAUGGAAUUUCUGUUUGUGUUUGUAUGGUACAAUCAUUGCUGUGUCAUCUGUGUUUAAUAAGCUGCUUCUGGAUUUUAAGAGUUUAUCAAAAUCUCAUGUGUUUAUGUGAAACAUACGGUAUUUACUGAUAUCUGUAUGAGAUGAGGAUUUACUAAGUAUGAAUAAGUCACGCUGUCAACCAUCUUAACUACAGUGUGCUAUAUAGUGUUGUCUGUGGGGUAUCAAUACUGGUGGUCAUUGUUUAAAGUGUAAUUAGAUACCCUGUAAAUAUUAUCCCCGGAAAUCUUAUAAUGAUACAGCAGAGACAAAUCUAAGGUUUUUUAACCUGUAAUUGUAAAAGUUGAUGGGACUCAAAACAUUUCUGGAAAUACUUAGAUUUUAUACAGAAAAACCAUAAACCCAUAAUUUUUUGGCAAUAAAGUUGAAAAGGACUCAAGAAAAUAAGUUUUAGAUUGAUAACUGUACAGUAUACAUCUUUGUACCAAAUAUUCUUCUCUAUGAUUUCUGCAAUAUAUGCAUAUUCCUACAAUAAAGAGAGCCAUGUUACCGAAGCAUAGAGCUUACAGCAAAUCCAGUGAUAUCAGCACAUAACUUGUCGAGAGUGUACCACCUAAUGAUUUACAAUCUAUAAUGUAUGUGCUUUAAGGUUUCUUGUUUGUCCCGACUGCAUCAAGGUGUGUGUACUGGUGCAUUAAUUGUUGUCAAGUCAAGGUCACAACAAGAAGGGUCAAAGUUCAAGUCACUGUCUUGGACCAUUAUUUCUGAUCCACUACAAAUCCAGCGAAACUUCGUUAAUUUUGAUUUGAUUGAAUUUGUCUGAAAUUAUCGUUUCAUGAACAAAUAUAUUGUACCAUAAAUAUCGAUGAUCUCAACCCCUCAUCUCCAACCCCUUAACUUCUCGUCACCACCACCCCUCCCCCACCCCCCACUUACCCCCACUCAACCCCACUUCCAGCAUACCAUGAGCUCAAGGACACAGUAAGGGAUUGCAUCAGAUACAAAGCGUAUUGCAACUUCUGUGAUCCUUCCAGAGAGAAAGUUCAACAGAGAGGAUGGGUCGGGGGGAGAAGUAUUAUUUACAAGUUCCAGCUUUUCCUGCUUCUAUUUUAAGGAAUAGCUGAAAUUGUCCAUAAGUUUGAUAGUAUAUGUUGAUAAUAGAAGUCCUAGCAACGUAAAGUACAUGGAUCGUAAAAAUCGGACAACUAAAUUUGACAUAAAAUGGCCAUCACAUCUUUUGAAGUAUACAGCCUUUAAUCAUGUAUUUUAAUCGAUAGAAACUGAAGACUUGAAAAAACUUAUUUAAAUUGAAGAUGUCUGUUAAUAUGUGUAAUAGUGUAUUUUUUGCCCACCAUCUGAAAUAUAAUUGCUCUGUGUCGGUGGUCCAUCUGUCCAUCGUCCGUCUGUUCAUUGACUGUUUUUGUUAUCACUAUUUCUUGAAAAGUCCUGUAUAGAUCUUUCUCAAAUUUCAUGUAUAGGGUUCUUUAGGUCCUUUGUUGUGCCUUUUUGAGUUUGGGACUGAUCGAAAAACAAAAUGCCGUCUUGGAUUUUGCCUAGUAAAGAUUGUUAUUGCUUUUUCUGAAGAAGUACUGAAUGGUUAUCUCUCAAAUUUAUUAGGUAUGUUUCGUUUGGUCACACCUUGUGCUUGUUUGCUUUUUGGACUGACUAGAAAAAACAAAAUGGCUUCCUGGUGGCCAUUUUGGAUUUUGCAGGUAAACGAUUAUCAUUUAUUUCUGCAAAGGAAUGUUCAAAUAUCAUACCAUUAAGAGAAAACAGAGAAGAUAAAAGAAAGGAAAAGAUCCAACUUUAAAAGGGUAUAAAGAUCAAACAGUGGUGGGCACCUCUCUCUAGGACCUCUUGUUUAAGAUUUUGUUUCACUGUAUAAAUGACAGGGCAUUUGACAAUUUCUCCUGUAAUUUGGGCAAAAUAUUCUGCAAUGUACUUAAUUUACAGUUUAUAGUUUCCACUGGUUUUAUUGAUAUUUUGUCUAAUCAGCAUUUUUGUUUUAUUUUGUCUCCCACUUUGUAUUUUUUUAAAGUAUUUAUAUAUUCUGUGCAAUAGUAUGAAAUGCAUUAAUUUUUACCUGAUUUUAACCAGUCUCGUCUUUUAACCACACAGGGGCUAGGAUAUAUCUUUAGUUACAUGAGCAAUGUCUUUAUAUAGGUCAAGGUCAUAUUUGUGUUUCUUGUCAGUCAUGUCAUAGUGUGUAUUUGUGUACUCAGAGUGUCUGUUUUUAGUUAGAAUCUUCAUGAAUCUUGAGAUUUAUUGCUCUGAUAAAGAAGUUUUUAGAAUAUCUUUAUACAUAAACAAAAUCCUAAACGUUAAGUUCUUCAAAGUUUUUGAAAUAUUUAAAGUGGUCCAGAACCAUUUGAAUUGUUAAAACAAUGGAAAAAUCUGUCUUACAAUUUGAACACUAAAUAAACAAUCACGCCAUGUUUUUGAUUAAUGUACCAUAUACAGUACACUGAUAUUUGUUACCAAGAAUAUUAAUUCAAUGUAAAUCUAUUUUAAACUUCACGGUUAUGACCUUGACUUUAACUUAGCAUAAUACAGAGGCCUUCACAAACCAAACUCUUAGUAAAUACUCACAUGGACAUGUUUGGAAACCUCUUCAUUCUGGUGUCAAGCACACAUUAUAACAGAUUUCAAAAAAGAAACGUCUGGAAGUUGACAAAUUACCAGAGGUCAGUAUAUUGUGUAUGAAGUCAUAUCUAGUCCCUGUGCUGAUACUAGUCUAUUAAUUUAUCUACAAAUUAUGAUGUUUUUCCUCAUUGGUUUUUAACUUUUGUUAAAUUGUUUUCAUGUUAUAAAUCAUUGUUUUAGAUAAAAUGUUUAUUAUUUUAUCAAGUAUUCCAGCAUAAUAAAAACCAGUGAACGUUGUUUACACCUUUAGCUUACACUCAA